AUACCGGCGGCCCGAGUGGCGGCCACUAUUAUUGGGCCUAAAGCGUCCGUAGCCGGUCUGGCAAGUCCCCCGGGAAAUCUGGUCGCUUAACGAUCAGGCUUCCGGGGGAUACUGCCAGACUAGGGACCGGGAGAGGCCGGGGGUAUUCCCGGGGUAGGGGUGAAAUCCUGUAAUCCCGGGAGGACCACCUGUGGCGAAGGCGCCCGGCUGGAACGGGUCCGACGGUGAGGGACGAAGGCCUGCGGAGCGAACCGGAUUAGAAACCCUAGUAGUCC
rnacentral:rRNA from 1 species